GUUUGAUUAGUGGAAAAGAAGAUCAAGAGUUGUUGUGUGGCUGAUAUUGUUUGGGUGAUAGUGGAAGUUGCUUGAUUCUCUGUCUCAAAUGCACACACACCACACCCCCUCCCCCCCAACCCCUCCCCGUUGUAGCCCCUCUCGCCUUUCAAUGUGGUUGCUGUUGCUUGAAGUAAAUUUUAGGGUUUUAGUUAAGAUCGGAUUUGGUUGGAUUGGAGUUGCAUUUUACAGGAUUCAUUUUUCAUGUU
rnacentral:misc_RNA from 1 species